GAUCUGCCCUGCAGGGAGUUCCACUUUCUUUCACAAUCUAAUCCAGAAAGACUCAGCUUCACAAAAAGCUUUUCACCAGACUUUUCAACCUACCCGUAGAUUAACCACCGGCUGAUGAAGGGCUUCAGCAUCUUUGGAAACUGAAAUAGAAUAGACACUACAAACAAAGGUUUCUACACAAGAUGAAGAAAUCAUUGACACCACGUUUGACCAAGGAUGUGAGUGGCUGCAUCAGUGACAGACCUGACUGACUCUGCAUAUCUGAACAAUGGAUUAUGAACUUUAGAUUCAUCCUCUAGGAUGCAACUGUCCACUUGGAGUUUUGCUAUAACAUCACUGAAGUGAGAACAUUUAGCUGAAGCAGCCUGAAACCCUGUGCCGCCAACAAGAGUUCCCUUUCCUCCACCUCCAAAGCAUGAAAUUCAAGUUGAAGGAUACGCUCGAUGACACAGGUACAUUUCAGAGUCACAAAGAGCAGGACUUCUAUGCUAUAUGCUAUAUGCUUGUUCUGCUAUACUGUGGAUUGGUUUUGGUCAGGUGUGAUGUCAUUUCCUGUCUUUUCAGUAAAUUAGUGUUUCAUCAGUGACUGUUUUUGAAAAAAAUGUCAAAUAAUUAAAUGAACUGAAACAUCAAGAACACCCUGGUCAAGAAAUGUAUGAUUAAAAAUCGUGAAUGGUUGCUUACCUAAUCCUUUUUGUUUUUUAAAGUGAAUUUAUUAUCUCUAAAUCAAUGUUUCUCUAUUCUUUCUCUGCGUCAGUAUACAAGCCUAGUCACCAGUGUUCACAGAUCAGUGAUAAAUAAAUACAAACAUACAGAAGUUCCUUUUUUCACAGUAAAAGUAAACUUGUCUUCUUUCAUCAUGACUUCUUAAGUCAAAGUUGUGUAA